AUUGAACGCUGGCGGCAGGCCUAACACAUGCCAGUCGAGCGGAUGAAGGGAGCUUGCUCCUGGAUUCAGCGGCGGACGGGUGAGUAAUGCCUAGGAAUCUGCCUGGUAGUGGGGGAUAACGUCCGGAAACGGGCGCUAAUACCGCAUACGUCCUGAGGGAGAAAGUGGGGGAUCUUCGGACCUCACGCUGUCAGAUGAGCCUAGGUCGGAUUAGCUAGUUGGUGGGGUAAAGGCCUACCAAGGCGACGAUCCGUAACUGGUCUGAGAGGAUGAUCAGUCACACUGGAACUGAGACACGGUCCAGACUCCUACGGGAGGCAGCAGUGGGGAAUAUUGGACAAUGGGCGAAAGCCUGAUCCAGCCAUGCCGCGUGUGUGAAGAAGGUCUUCGGAUUGUAAAGCACUUUAAGUUGGGAGGAAGGGCAGUAAGUUAAUACCUUGCUGUUUUGACGUUACCAACAGAAUAAGCACCGGCUAACUUCGUG
rnacentral:rRNA from 1 species